UUGCCCCUGGAAUCGGGCACGAAAGACAAGACCUUCUUGAGCACAGGGUCAUUUUCUCAGAACUCGAGACUUGACCUUCUUGUCGAAUGCUUUCAUCACUCUCUGCUGAUAUGACUGACCAUGACACAUGGCAGUUGAUCUCUUCCUUUCGAUCGAAUUCAGCAUCAGUCAACUUGGGACUUUGAGGGUGCUAUCUUUCUUUUGUUUUGUUUUUUUUUUUUU
rnacentral:lncRNA from 1 species